rfam:Triticum urartu cultivar G1812 contig1091686, whole genome shotgun sequence.
GAUAACAUGCUGAUCUUCCCCAAGAGUCCACAUCGACCAGAAGGUUUGGGACCUCGAUGUCGGCUCUUCGCCACCUAGAGCUGUAGGUGGUUCCAAGGGUUGGGUUGUUCGCCCAUUAAUGCAGUAACUAUGAAUUAGCAUGAACAUUUUUAUUGAACUUGG